rnacentral:rRNA from 1 species
UACGUAGGGUGCGAGCGUUAAUCGGAAUUACUGGGCGUAAAGCGUGCGCAGGCGGCUUUGCAAGUCAGAUGUGAAAUCCCCGGGCUUAACCUGGGAACUGCAUUUGUGACUGCAUGGCUAGAGUGCGGCAGAGGGGGAUGGAAUUCCGCGUGUAGCAGUGAAAUGCGUGGAUAUGCGGAGGAACACCGAUGGCGAAGGCGAUCCCCUGGGCCUGCACUGACGCUCAUGCACGAAAGCGUGGGGAGCAAACAGG